AAAUCUGAGGGAGAUCUGGCUGUGACAUCUGUCAUCUCCUUUAUCGCCAGGGUUGAUACUUCUUGGGCGUCACUCCCAAAGCUGUGUGCUUGGUCAGAGAGGAUGACAUUCCCCACUGGAGGAGGACCAGUCUUAGGUCAAGGGUACACAGUUAGUCGUGCUGCCUGCUAGGACCUCCAAACAAGCUUUGGAGAUAUCUCUAAGCGACCCGGGCUGCGGCUUCUACCAGCU
rnacentral:snRNA from 1 species